AUUUUUUAUUCACUAAAUCACACACAUAUCACAAACUAAACAUCGGGGUGCUGUUUUUCUAUUAAGAGAAACGGUCGAUGACUUAGGAUAUGUGGAGGCAAAAC
rnacentral:sRNA from 18 species